CACGUAGGGCGCAAGCGUUGUCCGGAAUUAUUGGGCGUAAAGAGCUCGUAGGUGGUUUGUUACGUCUGCUGUGAAAACCUAGGGCUUAACCCUGGGCUUGCAGUGGAUACGGGCAGACUAGAGGUAGGUAGGGGAGAAUGGAAUUCCUGGUGUAGCGGUGAAAUGCGCAGAUAUCAGGAGGAACACCGGUGGCGAAGGCGGUUCUCUGGGCCUGUACUGACGCUGAGGAGCGAAAGCGUGGGGAGCGAACAGG
rnacentral:rRNA from 1 species